GACCUCGUGGCGUGACGGUAGAGCGUUUGACUCCAGAUCGGAAAAUUGCGUGUUCAAAUCAUGUCGGGGUCA